UAAAUUUUCCUAGGUGUAUCCAUGAUCUUGUUUUUUUUUUUUUUUAUCACUACCCAAAGCCCAUGACCAUAGACUACGGUAGGGAUGUAGAUCAACUGGUAAAUUGGAUGCUUUGCUUUCAUGCUCACCUCUCUCUUCACCAUGACAGACCAGUACACCAUUCUCAUCACUGCGGCUACAGUUCAAAUCCAUUUGCCAAACUACUGCUCCCCUCUUUCCUCACUUGUGAACCAGAGCUCAAGAUACCUGAACUACUCCACUCGGGGCAGCAACUGGUCCCUGAGAAACAGUAGGCCUUUUCCGGCUGAGGACAACUAUUUUUUCUAGCUUGGCUGACUCAACAUCUGACUCUUCAGUUACAACAUUUGCUCCUCCUACAAUGACACCUGGCUUCAUCUAUCACUUCAGAAUCUAUAACGUAUUCUAUUAAUAUGUAUUCUGUCCCUUGGGUUAUUUCUGAAGGAUGUAUUUAUAAGUUUGAUAUAUGACGGGUCAUAGUCAUUUGUUCUGUAAGUAA